CCCUUAGAUGUCCUGGGCCGCACGCGUGCUACACUGACGCAUACAGCGAGCACUUUCCAGUUCCGAGAGGCUACUGGUAAUCAUCAAUAUGCGUCGUGAUGGGGAUAGAUCUUUGGAAUUCUGGAUCUUGAACGAGGAAUGCCUAGUAAUCGCAGGUCAUUAGUCUGCGAUGAUUAAGUCCCUGCCCUUUGUACACACCGCCCGUCGCUACUACCGAUUUCGAGUGGUCAGGUGAAUCUUUCGGACUGUGGGCGCCCUUGAGGUGUUCGCGGAAAGUCAGGUAAAUCUUAUCACUUAGAGGAAGUAAAAGUCGUAACA
rnacentral:rRNA from 1 species